AUGUACGAAGGUAAGGUAUGCGAAACUUUAACUCUCGACAGUGCUCGACAGUGCUCGACAGUUAGCAAAAUGGCGUUCCCGUGGGUGGUGAUUUCAUUCGCGUUUUCUUUGCUAUUAACGCCAUUCCUUAUGUUUUUACUUGCUAUUAUAUUUCUGGCAUCCAUUGGUAAAUCACUCGGUGUUCGCAGAUUAUACGUAAAACUAUUAUUAGCACUUUUUGAGUAUGGUAGGCAGAAUAUAGAAAAAGAAAGAAAUAAAAAUAAUGUCUUAGAAGAAGAGGAGGAGCAUGAAUCUAUUGCGAGAAAUACACAACAAAAAUUAAACAAACAUUCCAUGGACAAGGAAUUUCAAAUACAAAAUGGAAUUAUGAGUAAUAAUCAAGUCAUAGCUAGAUCAACAGAUUUGAUUUUAUUACCUGAGCCAGAGAUGCAAAAUAAUAAGAAUCAUAUAGAUGAACAUACAAAUGAGAAAAUUGAGGAAAUUUCAAAGGAUAUAGAUAGCAAUAAGGAGAAUACUCUUAUACGACGUAAUUCUUUUGAAACGCUCAAAAAAGGAUUUGAACCAGCUGUUUGCUUAGAUUACAUCAGGGCUGGAGUAGAGGCCAUUAUUGAAGAUGAAGUAACUUCACGUUUUGAAGCAGAAGAACUAAAGAAUUGGAAUCUUCUCACACGAACAAAUAGGCAUUAUGAAUUUAUAUCUUGGAAAUUAACAGUAAUAUGGAUGUUUGGAUUUUUUAUGCGAUAUUGUUUUCUUCUACCUUUGAGAAUAUUCAUCUGUUGUAUAGGAAUUCAUAUUUCGAUUUGGAUACACAUCCCAGAAAACAAACCAGAAACUAGAUGUAGUUACUUACACCUUCAUUAUCGACGUUUGUAUCUUAUACAUACAAACAAGUUUAGAAUUGGUAGUAUCUACACAGCAACUAUUCAGAGGGAUUCGUCGUUUCUCAGGUGCAAAGCUUGUGGUUUACAGGUGAUGUGGCUGACAAUGUGCACAGCAGUAGUGGGCUACAUUCCAGAGGGUAGCUUCAAACGAUGGCUGAACUACAAAGUCUCCAUAAUGUGCUUUGCUGUAUUAUCCAGUGCUUUGUCUUCAGUCAUUACUUACCAUCAUCCAGAAAAUCGACCAGUCAGAGGCAUAUGUGUAGCUAAUCACACAUCUCCUAUUGAUGUACUUAUACUUAUGUGUGAUAAUUGUUAUUCUUUGAUAGGUCAGAGGCAUGGUGGAUUCUUGGGGAUUUUACAAAGAGCACUUGCUCGUGCUUCUCCACAUAUAUGGUUUGAACGUUCUGAAGUUAAAGAUAGAGAAGCAGUUGCAAGAAGAUUAAAAGAACACGUAUCAGAUCCCACAAAUCCACCGAUAUUGAUUUUUCCUGAAGGAACUUGUAUCAAUAAUACGUCUGUUAUGCAGUUUAAAAAGGGUAGUUUUGAAGUAGGUGGUGUUAUCUACCCUGUUGCAAUCAAGGUAAUUACGAUCCACGAUUUGGUGACGCGUUUUGGAAUAGUAGCCGUUACUCAAUGUUACAGUACUUGUAUAUGAUGAUGUCUAGUUGGGCUAUAGUUUGUGAAGUUUGGUAUUUACCUCCAAUGUACAGAAACGAAGGAGAGAGUGCCAUUGAUUUUGCAAAUAGAGUAAAAUCAGUUAUAGCAAGACAAGGCGGACUUGUUGAUUUACAAUGGGACGGUCAACUUAAAAGAAUGAAACCAAAGAAAGAAUGGAGGGAGAAACAACAAGAAGAAUUCAGUAAACGCCUUAAAGUUGAAUAAACAUACAUUCCUUCUAGUCACAUCAUUUUUUGCAUAGCACGUGAUACUUCAUUGAAUCAGAUAUUUUUUGUCUGCAUUGUUGUUUCACCUAUUUGUGUCAUCUUUAUAAAUAUUUAUAACAUUGUGCGCGUAAUUAACGUUGUAAUCCAACUUAUUUGUAUCUUCAAAUAUGGAACAUUGCACUUUGAUUUAUUGUAUCAGAUAUGAUAUGUAUAUUAUCAUCUCAGCAUUUUGUUAUCAGGGUAUCAGUAUCUCCAGGAUUUCUUGAUACAUAAUCUUCAAUUACAUCUUUUCUAAAUAUAAGUUCGAAAUAAUCUUUGUAAUUAAAUGUUCAACAUUUUUAUUUUUUCACUGAGUAAAACCCAUUAAUAUAUAAUAUUUAUUUUCAAUAUAUAAUUUUCGAAGACAGUAAUAAUUACAUUUUUAUUGCAAAUAUAUUUUUUAUGAUAAAUAAAGCGUAAAAAUAUUUUCUUAUAAUGGAAGUAUUUUAUAUGUUCAGUAAGCAACCUUAUAAAAAUAGAUUAUAAUUUUAAAAGUGCAAGAACCAUAUUUGUAAGUUUUAGGCAUUGUAAUUUUAUUUAUAUUUUAUGAAAAUUGUAGUAUUGUUUUACUUGUGCGAGUGUACGUUUUAAUUUUCAAAAAACUACUACAUAUAUAUGUAUUUGUGCAGACACAUACAUACAUAUAUAUAUUUUUAUAAUAGUAAUUAUUCUAUUGUUUUGAUACAAUUUGAAUUCAAAAGCAAUUCAACAAAUAAUUUAACAUAUAAAAUAUUAAUCCAAUCACAUUUUAAUAAUAAUUUAAUAUUAUGUGGAAAUAAUAGAGAAAAAUAUUUCUUUAUUCUCUGUUGUUUUCUUAAAAAUGAAUAAAGAAUAUUGUUUUUAUUACAUUACUUGACUAUUUCAAUAUUGUUUGUGUGACAACAUAUAAGAAUGUAAAAUACAAUUUAUCUAUCAUAUUUCCAUUACUAAAAUUGUUAUUGAACAUUAGUGCUUUCUAUUUUAUUGAAAUAGUAAAUACGCGUAUAAGUUAAAAUUUCUUUACUUUAUAAACGUAUAUGUUUAAGAUAUUUAUCAAAUUUGACAAAUUAAUUUCAUGAUAAAAUUUACAGAUAUUAAAAUUUUUAUAAUUACUAGUCAGCAAAUAUUUUUUAUACAAAUGGCAGCACAACAAUCAUAACUUUUACACAGGAAUUUAGAAAUUAUACUGUUAUGUAAAACAAUUUCUUUUUCUAAUUAUAACAUACAUUUAACUAUAUUAAUAAUUUGUAUAACCUGUGUAGUAACAAAAACACAUUAUUGUAUAAUAUUUCAUACUUAUAGAAGAUGAAAUUUAAACGAAAUAAGAUUCAUUAUUUCUACAUAUAUAUUUUAAAAUUAAGAAAGUAAAUUAUCUUUAAUAGGAAAGUUUGAUUUAGAAAGAUCAGUUUCUUGUUUAACAGAAUAAUUACAUUCUGUAAUCAGAUUAAUCUCCAUGUAUAUUUAUUUAUUCUAUGAUGGCUUUUUAUAUAUUUAUUCUUUUAGAAAUGACAUUUUUAAUGUAUACAACACUAUUCAAGUUUUAUAUAAAAAGUGUCAAAAUAUAUUUUUGUAGAAGUAAAAUAUAUAAGUAGUUAUAAUAUUAAAAGUUUCAUGUAGAUAUGUGUCUAUUCGAAGAGAUAAUCACAUGUCUAAUUGAAAUUUUAUUUUAUAAAACCACUAAAAAUAGAUACAUCUAUUUGUAUCAGAUUAUGUAUGUAUCUUUGUGCUUAGAACAAAAAACUUUCACAGAAUAUAUUACUUUUUAUGAUA